rnacentral:ncRNA from 2 species
AUGUUAUAAAGAAAGCUUGAGGGAAUAGACCCAAUGAUGGCUUAGCAACCCUUUGCAAAGAAGAAGGUGCUACAUUCUAUCCGUCAUGGCGGAAAAGAUAACAA